rnacentral:rRNA from 1 species
ACGAGACACGUGAAACCUUGUGGGAAGCAGGGAGGACCACCUCCCAAGGCUAAAUACUACCUGAUGACCGAUAGUGAAGCAGUACCGUGAGGGAAAGGUGAAAAGAACCCCGGGAGGGGAGUGAAAUAGAACCUGAAACCGUGUGCCUACAACCGCUCAGAGCCCCUUAUGAGGGUGAUGAGGUGCUUUUUGUAGAACGAGCCAACGAGUUACGGUAUGUAGCAAGGUUAAGUACUUAAGGUACGGAGCCGAAGGGAAACCGAGUCUGAAUAGGGCGACUAGUUGCAUGCCGUAGACCCGAAACCGGGUGACCUAUCCAUGGCCAGGUUGAAGCGAGGGUAAAACCUCGUGGAGGACCGAACCACGUUGCUGUUGAAAAAGCAUGGGAUGAGCUGUGGAUAGCGGAGAAAUUCCAAUCGAACCCGGAGAUAGCUGGUUCUCUCCGAAAUAGCUUUAGGGCUAGCGUCGAGUAUGAGUAGUGGAGGUAGAGCACUGAAUGGGCUAGGGGGCAUAGCGCUUACCGAACCUUAUCAAACUCCGAAUGCCACAUACUUUGAGCUCGGCAGUCAGACUACGAAUGAUAAGAUCCGUGGUCAAAAGGGAAACAGCCCAGAUCGUCAGCUAAGGUCCCAAAGUGUAAGUUAAGUGGGAAAGGAUGUGAGAUUUCUAAGACAACUAGGAUGUUGGCUUAGAAGCAGCCAUUCAUUAAAAGAGUGCGUAAUAGCUCACUAGUCGAGAGAUCUUGCGCCGAAAAUGUAACGGGGCUAAACUUACCACCGAAGCUACGGGCUUGAACUUAGUUCAAGCGGUAGGAGAGCGUCGUAACCGGGCUGAAGUCGUACCGUAAGGAGCGGUGGACUGGUUACGAGUGAGAAUGUUGGCAUCAGUAGCGAGAUGUGGGUGAGAAUCCCACAGGCCGAAAACCUAAGGUUUCCUCAGGAAGGUUCGUCCGCUGAGGGUUAGUCGGGACCUAAGCCGAGGCCGAAAGGCGUAGGUGAUGGACAACUGGUUGAUAUUCCA